UUUUCGACCUUUUACGCGUCUAACGGUAAGAUUUUUCGAUUUUAGUUUGAUUUCUACCUUUCCCAUGCCUUUAUUUCCAUUUAACAUGCUUGAGGAGAAAGAUCAAAAAAGUGAUAUCAAGGGCUGGAUGAAAUUCUAGGGGAGAGAAAUUGAAAUUUUUAGGUUUUGAUUUUUAGUUAAAUUGAUAGUUUUAGUUAGUUAAAUGUGUUUAGAAAUUAAAUUGGGCAAGAAAUCAUUAAAUUUUCACAAUACCCACUCUUGGCUGGAUGCUCAAUGCUGUACAAUGAUGAUGAAUUGAUUUUACUCUAAGGAAAAUGAAGAGAAAAUGAUGAAAAACGAUUAAACGUGAAAGAAAAACAAAGUAGAAAAUUAACCGAGUUAAUGUCCCAUUUUUGGCCGAAUUUUCCAAGGAAGGGAGUGAGCUGAUUUUGUUGUUUUUAGAAGGUUAUUGGCUGAUAUUUAAUGGUUAGAAAUGUUGGAGAGAGAAUGGGAUGAUUUAGAGCUAAAAUGGAGCGCGUUAGCAAUUUAUCGGGCCAAGUGCCAAAAAUAGGUUAAUACCGCGUUUAAGCCGUUUUAGGCUAUUGCAUUUCAUACCAUGCAUUAGUAUAGGAUUUAAGUUAAUUAUAUAGUGAUUUAGCAUCAAUGUGAUGAAUUGUGUAAAUUUUUGUAAUGUGUCUAGGAGGAGAGCCUUCCGGAAAAGGCAAAGAAGUCGUACCCGACGAGUAGUGAUCGGGGCGCUUAGAAAGCUUUUAGUUUGUACAAACGGUGAGUAAACUUAUUAUUAUUGUAAAUUAUCUAGAGUUUAUUUUAAAUGCCCUUUAUGUAUUUUAUGAAAUGAGAACGAGAUUAAAACGGGAUUUUUGAUGUUUUAGGAAUAAAUGUGACAAAUAAAAAUAUAUUGUAUUGAUUAUGAAAUUGAGUAAUUGGAGGCUGCAAAUUGACUUGAAAAAUAUAUAUUUUCCUAGGAAUGGCUUAUGAGAAAUGAGUAUAUGUGGCUAUAUUUUGUGAAUGCAUUGGGAAAUUUAUGUAAUUGGUUUUACUAUGCAGGCUGGAUAAAUAAAUAAAAGCCACGUUAUACUGUCGAAAUUUUAUUAAAAUUGGUGGGUUAGUCACUGCAGUGACGGGUUUCCGUGGACUGCCUAUUAGAGGGGCACGGUAAACCCAGUUAUAUAGUUACUCCGGUUGUAGAGGCGAGGAGGGUAACUCCCGGGGUAGUAUUAGAGCUCACUUCACGUCGAACCCCCACGUGAAUGUGUAACUCGGCCAACGCCAAGGGACGGCUGGUUUUAAAAAUAAAAAUGUGUUUCACGUGUGAAUAUUUUAACACCCUUGGCGGACUCGGUUAGAUGCCUCGGCCAAGGUAUCCCCGAGGAUUAGUUUUGGCUUGAGCCUUGUUUUAAUAAAAGACAUAAGCCUUAACAAUUGUUUUGGUAAAUUACAAAUAUUUUAUGGUUUAAGAAAUAAAUUGAAAACAUUAUGAAAUGGGUUGAAAUUUGUUGUUUAAACUUGCCUCCAUUUUACUCGCCUUUAGAUAUUUAUGAUAAUGUCUGUUUACUCAUUGGGAUUGCAAAAUCUCACCCAACUCCUUUCCACCCAUUUCAGGUUCAGUAUAGACUGUAGAUAGCUGAUCUCAUCGAGGACUACCAUUGGAUCUGCAUUUUCCAAACCGUAGGUUCACAGUCCUCUUUACUUUUGUUUAUUCGGGGGCCUUCUUGUUAUUGUAAAUUAAAUUAAAUAUUUUGGC
rnacentral:lncRNA from 1 species